GACGAACGCUGGCGGCGUGCUUAACACAUGCAAGUCGAACGGAAAGGCCCUGCUUUUGUGGGGUGCCCGAGUGGCGAACGGGUGAGUAACACGUGAGUAACCUGCCCUUGACUUUGGGAUAACUUCAGGAAACUGGGGCUAAUACCGGACAGGAGCUCCUGCUGCAUGGUGGGGGUUGGAAAGUUUCGGCGGUUGGGGUUGGACUCGCGGAUUAUCAGCUAGUUGGUGGGGUAGUGGCUUACCAAGGCUGUGACGGGUAGCCGGCCUGAGAGGGUGACCGGCCACAUUGGGACUGAGAGACGGCCCAGACUCCAACGGGAGGCAGCAGUGGGGAAUAUUGCACAAUGAGCGGAAGCCUGAUGCAGCAACGCCGCGUGCGGGAUGACGGCCUUCGGGUUGUAAACCGCUUUCGCCUGUGACGAAGCGUGAGUGACGGUAAUGGGUAAAGAAGCACCGGCUAACUACGUG
rnacentral:rRNA from 1 species